rnacentral:rRNA from 1 species
UACAUGGGGGUGCAAACGUUGCUCGGAAUUAUUGGGCGUAAAGCGCGCGUAGGCGGUUACUCAAGUCGGAUGUGAAAAGCCCUCGGCUUAACUGAGGAAGUGCACCCGAAACUGAGUAGCUAGAGUACUAAAGAGGGUCGCGGAAUUCCCGGUGUAGAGGUGAAAUUCGUAGAUAUCGGGAGGAAUACCGGUGGCGAAGGCGGCAUCCUGGACCGGCAUUGACGCUGAGGAGCGAAAGCCAGGGGAGCAAACGGG